GCGGGUGUAGUUCAAUGGUAGAACAUCAGCUUCCCAAGCUGAUAACGCGGGUUCGAUUCCCGUCACCCGCUCCA
rnacentral:tRNA from 2 species